rnacentral:rRNA from 1 species
AUGAACGCUAGCGGCAGGCUUAACACAUGCAAGUCGAGGGGUAUAUGUCUUCGGAUAUAGAGACCGGCGCACGGGUGCGUAACGCGUAUGCAAUCUACCUUUCACAGAGGGAUAGCCCAGAGAAAUUUGGAUUAAUACCUCAUGGUAUUACGACUCGGCAUCGAGAUGUAAUUAAAGUCACAACGGUGAAAGAUGAGCAUGCGUCCCAUUAGCUAGUUGGUAAGGUAACGGCUUACCAAGGCAACGAUGGGUAGGGGUCCUGAGGGGGAGAUCCCCCACACUGGUACUGAGACACGGACCAGACUCCUACGGGAGGCAGCAGUGAGGAAUAUUGGUCAAUGGACGCAAGUCUGAACCAGCCAUGCCGCGUGCAGGAUGACGGUCCUAUGGAUUGUAAACUGCUUUUGUACGAGAAGAAACAACAUUACGUGUAAUGUCUUGACGGUAUCGUAAGAAUAAGGAUCGGCUAACUCCGU